rnacentral:rRNA from 1 species
GAUGAACGCUGGCGGCGUGCCUAAUACAUGCAAGUCGAGCGAACAGACGAGGAGCUUGCUCCUCUGACGUUAGCGGCGGACGGGUGAGUAACACGUGGAUAACCUACCUAUAAGACUGGGAUAACUUCGGGAAACCGGAGCUAAUACCGGAUAAUAUAUUGAACCGCAUGGUUCAAUAGUGAAAGACGGUUUUGCUGUCACUUAUAGAUGGAUCCGCGCCGCAUUAGCUAGUUGGUAAGGUAACGGCUUACCAAGGCAACGAUGCGUAGCCGACCUGAGAGGGUGAUCGGCCACACUGGAACUGAGACACGGUCCAGACUCCGACGGGAGGCAGCAGUAGGGAAUCUUCCGCAAUGGGCGAAAGCCUGACGGAGCAACGCCGCGUGAGUGAUGAAGGUCUCCGGAUCGUAAAACUCUGUUAUUAGGGAAGAACAAAUGUGUAAGUAACUAUGCACGUCUUGACGGUACCUAAUCAGAAAGCCACGGCUAACUACGUG